AUGGUCACAGAUAAAACAGUAAUAAACUGCCCUUCUCUGUUAAACUUAUGGAGUACAAAGUUGUCAUGCAUGAUCAGCAAAAGAUUUGUGCUUCUUUGGCCCAUAUAUAUCACAGUAGAGUAUAUGAUUUUCGCAGUUCUUAAUUUAAAAUUUUCCUUUUCUAGCACAGCCAUGCAUAUCAACAAUCAGUCAAGCAAAGAAAUAUUCAUGGGAGAUAUACAGGGAUCCAGAAGAAUGUGCACCGUAUGGCACUACCCUUUUGUCAUCGAGCCACUAUCACAUUUUGGUCAGCAAUCGGUUCAAGCAAUUCUCAGCGCAAUUAGUUAG
rnacentral:rRNA from 1 species